CCUACGGGCGGCUGCAGUCGAGGAUCUUCGGCAAUGGGCGCAAGCCUGACCGAGCGACGCCGCGUGUGGGAUGAAGGCCUUCGGGUUGUAAACCGCUGUCAGUGGGGAGGAAGGCCCUGUGAAGAGCAGGGUUUGACCUAUCCGCAGAGGAAGUGUGGGCUAAGUUCGUGCCAGCAGCCGCGGUAAGACGAACCACACAAACGUUAUUCGGAAUUACUGGGCUGAAUGGGUUGUUCAGAUGUGUAGAAGUGAAAUCCCCCGGCUCAACCGGGGAAUUGCGCUUAAAACUACUGUGCUAGAGGAAUACAGAGGUAAGCGGAACUUCGGGUGGAGCGGUGAAAUGCGUUGAUAUCCGAAGGAACACCGGUGGCGAAAGCGGCUUACUGGGUAUUUUCUGACGCUGAUGCACGAAAGCUAGGGGAGCAAACGGGAUUAGAUACCCCAGUAGUC
rnacentral:rRNA from 1 species